rnacentral:rRNA from 1 species
UACGUAGGGGGCAAGCGUUAUCCGGAUUUACUGGGUGUAAAGGGAGCGUAGACGGCGCGGCAAGUCUGAAGUGAAAGGCAGGGGCUUAACCCCUGAACUGCUUUGGAAACUGCCAUGCUAGAGUGCUGGAGAGGUAAGUGGAAUUCCUAGUGUAGCGGUGAAAUGCUUAGAUAUCACGAAGAACUCCGAUUGCGAAGGCAGCUCACUGGACUGCAACUGACACUGAGGCUCGAAAGUGCGGGUAUCGAACAGG